rnacentral:rRNA from 1 species
AAUAGAUACCCCGGUAGUCCACGCCGUAAACGAUGAAUACUAGGUGUAGGGGGUAUCGACCCCUUCUGUGCCGCAGUUAACACAAUAAGUAUUCCGCCUGGGGAGUACGAUCGCAAGGUUAAAACUCAAAGGAAUUGACGGGGGCCCGCACAAGCAGCGGAGCAUGUGGUUUAAUUCGAAGCAACGCGAAGAACCUUACCUAGACUUGACAUCCCCUGAAUUACCUGUAAUGAGGGAAGCCCUUCGGGGCAGGGAGACAGGUGGUGCAUGGUUGUCGUCAGCUCGUGUUGUGAGAUGUUGGGUUAAGUCCCGCAACGAGCGCAACCCUUAUCAUUAGUUGCUACCAUUAAGUUGAGCACUCUAGUGAGACUGCCCGGGUUAACCGGGAGGAAGGUGGGGAUGACGUCAAAUCAUCAUGCCCCUUAUGUCUAGGGCUACACACGUGCUACAAUGGUUGGUACAAUAAGAUGCAAUACCGCGAGGUGGAGCUAAAACUUAUAAAACCAAUCCCAGUUCGGAUUGUAGGCUGAAACUCGCCUACAUGAAGCCGGU